rnacentral:rRNA from 1 species
AUUGAACGCUGGCGGCAUGCCUUACACAUGCAAGUCGAACGGCAGCACGGGAGCAAUCCUGGUGGCGAGUGGCGAACGGGUGAGUAAUACAUCGGAACGUGCCCAGUAGUGGGGGAUAACCCGGCGAAAGCCGGACUAAUACCGCAUACGACCUACGGGUGAAAGCAGGGGAUCGCAAGACCUUGCGCUAUUGGAGCGGCCGAUGUCAGAUUAGCUUGUUGGNGGGGUAAAAGCCUACCAAGGCAACGAUCUGUAGCUGGUCUGAGAGGACGACCAGCCACACUGGGACUGAGACACGGCCCAGACUCCUACGGGAGGCAGCAGUGGGGAAUUUUGGACAAUGGGCGCAAGCCUGAUCCAGCCAUGCCGCGUGC